GACGAACGCUGGCGGCGUGCUUAACACAUGCAAGUCGAACGGUGAAGCGCCUUCCUUUUUGGUGGGUGUGGAUGAGUGGCGAACGGGUGAGUAACACGUGAGUAACCUGCCCCCUUCUUCUGGAUAACCGCAUGAAAGUGUGGCUAAUACGGGAUAUUCUGGGUCUGUCGCAUGAUGGGUCUGGGAAAGAUAUUGUUUCGGUGGGGGAUGGGCUCGCGGCCUAUCAGCUUGUUGGUGGGGUGAUGGCCUACCAAGGCGGUGACGGGUAGCCGGCCUGAGAGGGUGGACGGUCACACUGGGACUGAGACACGGACCAGACUCCUACGGGAGGCAGCAGGGGGGAAUAUUGCACAAUGGGCGCAAGCCUGAUGCAGCGACGCCGCGUGAGGGAUGGAGGCCUUCGGGUUGUGAACCUCUUUCGCCAGUGAAGCAGGCCUGCCUCGUUUGUGGGUGGGUUGACGGUAGCUGGAUAAGAAGCGCCGGCUAACUACGUG
rnacentral:rRNA from 1 species